rnacentral:rRNA from 1 species
AACGAACGCUGGCGGCGCGCCUAAUACAUGCAAGUCGAGCGAGAAGACGUAGCAAUACGUUUGUAAGCGGCGAACGGGUGAGGAAUACAUGGGUAACCUACCCUCGAGUGGGGAAUAACUAACCGAAAGGUUAGCUAAUACCGCAUACGGUUCCUGGUCUGCGGAUCGGGAGAGAAAGCGAUACCGUGGGUAUCGCGCUCUUGGAUGGGCUCAUGUCCUAUCAGCUUGUUGGUGAGGUAACGGCUCACCAAGGCUUCGACGGGUAGCUGGUCUGAGAGGACGAUCAGCCACACUGGCACUGCGACACGGGCCAGACUCCUACGGGAGGCAGCAGUAAGGAAUAUUGCGCAAUGGGCGACAGCCUGACGCAGCGACGCCGCGUGGGGGAUGAAGGUUCUCGGAUUGUAAACCCCUUUCGAUCGGAACGAAUCCCCUCCCGGUGAACAAUCGGGAGGAUCGACGGUACCGAGAGAAGAAGCCACGGCUAACUCUGUGCCAGCAGCCGCCGUAAAAC